UGUAUCCUACGGGGGGCAGCAGUGGGGAAUAUUGUACAAUGGGCGAAAGCCUGAUGGAGCAACGCCGCGUGGGUGAAGAAGGUCUUCGGAUCGUAAAACCCUGUUGUUAGAGAAGAAAGUGCGUGAGAGUAACUGUUCACGUUUCGACGGUAUCUAACCAGAAAGCCACGGCUAACUACGUGCCAGCAGCCGCGGUAAUACGUAGGUGGCAAGCGUUAUCCGGAUUUAUUGGGCGUAAAGGGAACGCAGGCGGUCUUUUAAGUCUGAUGUGAAAGCCUUCGGCUUAACCGGAGUAGUGCAUUGGG
rnacentral:rRNA from 1 species